rnacentral:rRNA from 1 species
UACAGAGGGUGCAAGCGUUGUUCGGAAUUACUGGGCGUAAAGGGCUCGUAGGCGGCCAACUAAGUCAGACGUGAAAUCCCUCGGCUUAACCGGGGAACUGCGUCUGAUACUGGAUGGCUUGAGGUUGGGAGAGGGAUGCGGAAUUCCAGGUGUAGCGGUGAAAUGCGUAGAUAUCUGGAGGAACACCGGUGGCGAAGGCGGCAUCCUGGACCAAUUCUGACGCUGAGGAGCGAAAGCCAGGGGAGCAAAGCGGG